rnacentral:rRNA from 1 species
UACAGAGGUCUCAAGCGUUGUUCGGAUUCAUUGGGCGUAAAGGGCGCGUAGGCUGCGGGGCAAGUCGGGUGUGAAAUCUCAGAGCUCAACUCUGAAACUGCACUCGAUACUGCUUUGCUCGAGGACUGGAGAGGAGAUUGGAAUUCACGGUGUAGCAGUGAAAUGCGUAGAUAUCGUGAGGAAGACCAGUGGCGAAGGCGAAUCUCUGGACAGUUCCUGACGCUGAGGCACGAAGGCCAGGGGAGCAAACAGG